rnacentral:rRNA from 1 species
UGUCGUGAUGAUGGCACUGAGGUCACACCUGUUCCCAUACCGAACACAGUAGUUAAGCUCAGUAGCGCCAAAAGUAGUUGGAGGAU